rnacentral:rRNA from 1 species
AUGCAAGUAGAACGCUGAAGCUUGGUGCUUGCACCGAGCGGAUGAGUUGCGAACGGGUGAGUAACGCGUAGGUAACCUGCCUCUUAGCGGGGGAUAACUAUUGGAAACGAUAGCUAAUACCGCAUAAAAGUCGAUAUCGCAUGAUAUUGAUUUGAAAGGUGCAAAUGCAUCACUAAGAGAUGGACCUGCGUUGUAUUAGCUAGUUGGUGAGGUAACGGCUCACCAAGGCGACGAUACAUAGCCGACCUGAGAGGGUGAUCGGCCACACUGGGACUGAGACACGGCCCAGACUCCUACGGGAGGCAGCAGUAGGGAAUCUUCGGCAAUGGGGGCAACCCUGACCGAGCAACGCCGCGUGAGUGAAGAAGGUUUUCGGAUCGUAAAGCUCUGUUGUAAGAGAAGAACGAGUGUGAGAGUGGAAAGUUCACACUGUGACGGUAACUUACCAGAAAGGGACGGCUAACUACGUGCCAGCAGCCGCGGUAAUACGUAGGUCCCGAGCGUUAUCCGGAUUUAUUGGGCGUAAAGCGAGCGCAGGCGGUUAGAUAAGUCUGAAGUUAAAGGCUGUGGCUUAACCAUAGUACGCUUUGGAAACUGUUUAACUUGAGUGCAGAAGGGGAGAGUGGAAUUCCAUGUGUAGCGGUGAAAUGCGUAGAUAUAUGGAGGAACACCGGUGGCGAAAGCGGCUCUCUGGUCU